GACGAACGCUGGCGGUGGGCUUAACACAUGCAAGUCGAACGGCAGCUGGGUGACAGCGUGCUCUUACGGGUGAGGGGUGGAGGGGGGAGUAGUACUAGAGCAGACUGUACUUUUUUUUGGGGGAAGACGUGGGGACGGUUACGAAUAUAGGGCAUUCGACCUUGGUGGGAAGGCUGGGGGGGUUAGGACUUUGCGCGAGGGGAUGGGGCGCUGUCGGAUUAGGCAGUUGGCGGGGGAAAGGGCCUACCAGGCGACGGACGGUAGCUGGGCUGGGAGGGUGAUCAGCCACACGGGAACUGAGACACGGUCCAGACUCCUACGGGAGGCAGCAGUGGGGAAUAUUGGACAAGGGGCGCAAGCCUGAUCCAGCCAUACCGCGUGGGUGAAGAAGGCCUUCGGGUUGUAAAGCCCUUUUGUUGGGAAAGAAAAGCAGCAGGUUAAUACCCCGCUGUUCUGACGGUACCCAAUGAAUAAGCACCGGCUAACUUCGUG
rnacentral:rRNA from 1 species